rnacentral:tRNA from 1 species
GGAAGUAAUCCUGCUGGAUUGGGAACUCGUUUCGAAAGCGAGUAGUACGACAUGUUCGUAUUGUGGGUUCGAGUCCUACUGCUUCCG